UAACAUGCAAGUCGAGCGGCAGCGCGGGGCAAGCUGGCGGCGAGCGGCGAACGGGUGAGUAAUGCAUCGGAACAUGUCCAUUGAUGGGGGAUAGCCCGGCGAAAGCCGGAUUAAUACCGCAUGAGCCCGACAGGGGAAAGUGGGGGACCGCAAGGCCUCACGUCGAUGGGUUGGCCGAUGUCCGAUUACCUAGUUGGUGGGGUAAAGGCUCAC
rnacentral:rRNA from 1 species